CUUUGUCCCUCUUGCCAAGUCAAACACAUGAAUGGAUGUCUGAAUCUGAUUCUCAACUCCGUUUCCAUGCAACAAAUACUUGUUUACACUGUUUAUGGUUAUGGUUACAGUAUGAAACUGUGCGCGCUUGAUAUUUGUCUUAAUAUUCGUGGCUUCAUGAACUUCCAAAUUUUGUAACUUACAUGCUGACUAUUGAAAGUCACAAAUUUCUAAUGCUUAUACCACAUUGUGAGUUAUGUUCAUUUUCUUCUCUGUCUUCUAACUAUUUAUAUUUUUGUGCUGGUAGUGAUCUAAAAAUCAGCACAUGC
rnacentral:lncRNA from 1 species